UACAGAGGUCUCAAGCGUUGUUCGGAUUCAUUGGGCGUAAGGGGUGGGUAGGCGGCGCGGAAAGUGGGGGGUGAAAUCUCGGAGCUUAACUCCGAAACUGCAUUCGAUACUGCCGUGCUUGAGGACUGGAGAGGAGACUGGAAUUUACGGUGUAGCGGUGAAAUGCGUAGAUAUCGUAAGGAAGACCAGUGGCGAAGGCGGGUCUCUGGACAGUUACUGACGCUGAGGCACGAAGGCCAGGGGAGCAAACGGG
rnacentral:rRNA from 1 species